rnacentral:rRNA from 1 species
UAAAGCAAGAAAGGGCGUAUGGGGAAUGCCUAGGCACACUCCGGCGAAGAAGGACGCAGCAAACAGCGAAAUGCGACGGUGAGCGGUAAGCACGUGAAGAGCCGUCGAUAUCCGAAUGGGGGAACCCACACGGAGUCAUAUCCGUGUAUCACAUGUCGAAUACAUAGACAUGAUGAGGCGAGACGCAGGGAACUGAAACAUCUAAGUACCUGCAGGAAGAGAAAAUAAGAAUGAUUUUCUGAGUAGCGGCGAGCGAAAGGGAAAGAGCCCAAACCGAUCUGAGGAUCGGGGUAGUAGGAUCAUCGAUAAAUCAAACAGAGGAUCAUAGAGGAAUCACAUGGGAAGGUGAGCGAGAGAGGGUGAGAGCCCCGUACUCGAAAUGAGAGACUGGAGAGAGAUGACACCUGAGUAGGGCGGGACACGAGAAAUCCUGUCUGAAUCAGCCGGGACCAUCCGGCAAGGCUAAAUACGAGAGAGUGACCGAUAGUGAACCAGUACCGUGAGGGAAAGGUGAAAAGAACCCCGGGAGGGGAGUGAAAGAGAACCUGAAACCAUAUGCCUACAAGAAGUCAGAGCCCGUUAAGGGGUGAUGGCGUGCCUUUUGUAGAAUGAACCGGCGAGUUACUGUAUGGAGCGAGGUUAAGCAGGAUAUGCGGAGCCGAAGCGAAAGCGAGUCUUAAGAGGGCGCGAGUUGCAUGCAGUAGACCCGAAACCGGGUGAUCUAGCCAUGACCAGGUUGAAGUUGGGGUAAAACCCGAUGGAGGACCGAACCGACCCCCGUUGAAACGUUGGCGGAUGAGUUGUGGCUAGGGGUGAAAUUCCAAUCGAACCCGGAGAUAGCUGGUUCUCCCCGAAAUAGCUUUAGGGCUAGCGUCGAGAGAAGAGUUGCGUGAAGGUAGAGCACUGAAUAUGUGAUGGCCCCAUCUCGGGGUACUGAGCAUAAUCAAACUGCGAAUGUCACGCCAACAUGCUCGGCAGUCAGACAGCGGGUGAUAAGGUCCGUUGUCAAGAGGGAAACAGCCCAGACCAUCAGCUAAGGUCCCAAAAUGUAUGCUAAGUGGAAAAGGAUGUGGAGAUGUACAGACAACUAGGAGGUUGGCUCAGAAGCAGCCAUCCUUUAAAGAGUGCGUAACAGCUCACUAGUCGAAUGACUCUGCGCCGAUAAUUUACCGGGGCUAAGCAUACUACCGAAGCUAUGGAUCCCAAGGGAUGGUAGGGGAGCGUUCCAUGAACGGAGAAGUACGACCGAAAGGACGUGUGGAGAUCAUGGAAGAGAGAAUGCCGGUGUGAGUAGCGGAACGUGGGUGAGAAUCCCACGCACCGAAAACCCAAGGUUUCCAGAGGAAGGUUCGUCCGCUCUGGGUAAGUCGGGACCUAAGGCGAGGCCGAAAGGCGUAGUCGAUGGACAACAGGUAGAGAUUCCUGUACCCGUAUAUAUGUGAAGGAAUGACGGAGAGAGGAAGCUGCAGCCAGCGGCUGGAAGAGCUGGUGCAAGCGAGAUAUCGGGAUGGCAGGCAAAUCCACCAUCCGAAACGAGAAGGCGUGAAGCGUACGGAAAGCUACGGCGAGUACGGAAGGCAGUGGAGGAACUUCCAAGAAAAGUUUCUAACGUUAAGUAUAUAUGGCCCGUACCGAAAAUGGACACACAUGGGUGAGGAGAGAAUCCUAAGGUGAGCGAGAGAACUAUAGCUAAGGAACUCUGCAAAAUGACUCCGUAACUUAGGGAGAAGGAGUGCUCAUAGAGAUAUGAGCCGCAGUGAAACGGCCCAAGCGACUGUUUACCAAAAACACAGCUCUCUGCUAAGCCGCAAGGCGAAGUAUAGGGGGUGACGCCUGCCCGGUGCUGGAAGGUUAAGGGGAGGGGUUAACGCAAGUGAAGCCCUGAACUGAAGCCCCAGUAAACGGCGGCCGUAACUAUAACGGUCCUAAGGUAGCGAAAUUCCUUGUCAGGUAAGUUCUGACCCGC